rnacentral:lncRNA from 1 species
UUCCUUACAGCAAUUCAGUCAUACCAAUAACUGCUAUUUCUACCAAUAUAUUCACCCUCAUAAUCUCCAACUAUAAUACUACGCCCUCACAGCUUUCAGCACACAAUUACUCUCAUUUUAAUCAUUGGAAUUCUUCACACAGAACUUCCAUUCACAUUACGGUGUUUCACACAAACACAGACUCAUUCUUUCUGCUGAACUACAAUCAAAUUUCAGCAUUCAAUCUUUCUUCUUCUCAAAUAAUACCAAUCACAUUUCUAUUCUAUAAUUCACUUCACAAUAUUCAAAAAUUCUCAAUCCUCUUAUUCAAAGAAAAUAACAAACAAAAGAAAAGAGGUAGUACCAAGCUUACCCCGGCUCACACUAUCAUAGCGAUGGCCCUUAAUUAACUUCUACAACUCCUAUAUUCUUUCCCCUGAUUUUUCAGAUUCUAACCGUAAUUCUGUAAUUAACCGCUUUUAAGAAUUAAAUCACUCAUCCAUCCUCCUAAAUUUCCUAUUAUAUGGACUAUUAAUAUAUUUUAGCAAUAUCUUUCAAAAACGAAUUAAUAUCUAUU